rnacentral:rRNA from 1 species
CGCUGGCGGUAGGCUUAACACAUGCAAGUCGUGCGAGAAAGUAUCUUCGGAUAUGAGUAGAGCGGCGGACGGGUGAGUAACGCGUAGGAAUCUACCUAGUAGAAGGGGAUAGCCCGGGGAAACUCGGAUUAAUACCGUAUACCUCCUUAGGGAGAAAGAGGGCCUCUCUUGAUGCUUUCGCUAUUAGAUGAGCCUGCGUAAGAUUAGCUUGUUGGUAAGGUAAUGGCUUACCAAGGCUACGAUCUUUAGCUGGUCUGAGAGGACGAUCAGCCACAUUGGGACUGAGACACGGCCCAGACUCCUACGGGAGGCAGCAGUGGGGAAUAUUGGACAAUGGGCGCAAGCCUGAUCCAGCCAUACCGCGUGUGUGAAGAAGGCCUUCGGGUUGUAAAGCACUUUAAGCAGGGAGAAAAAGUUAUAAGUUAAUACCUUAUAACCGUGAUGUUACCUGCAGAAUAAGCACCGGCUAAUUCCGUGCCAGCAGCCGCGGUAAUACGGAAGGUGCAAGCGUUAAUCGGAAUUACUGGGCGUAAAGCGCGCGUAGGUGGUUUGUUAAGUUGGAUGUGAAAGCCCUGGGCUCAACCUAGGAACUGCAUCCAAAACUAACUCACUAGAGUACGAUAGAGGGAGGUAGAAUUCAUAGUGUAGCGGUGGAAUGCGUAGAUAUUAUGAAGAAUACCAGUGGCGAAGGCGGCCUCCUGGAUCUGUACUGACACUAAGGUGCGAAAGCGUGGGUAGCGAACAGGAUUAGAUACCCUGGUAGUCCACGCCGUAAACGAUGACAACUAGCUGUUGGGAGACAAUGUCUUUCAGUGGCGCAGCUAACGUUUUAAGUUGUCCGCCUGGGGAGUACG